UGUACAUAUAAACAAACAUACGAAUGUACACAAAAUACAGAACUUAAAAUAAAAAAUAUUUUGUUUCAUAGGUUAUUUAUAAAAACCGAAAAAUGACAUUUUAGUCUCCUGUAAAAAUGCAAAAAUGGCAAAUGCAAAGCGAAUGGCGAAAAACCGACGGAAAGAGGAAGGGGGGAAAGAAAAAAAAAAGGAAGGAGCAGAAAAGAAUUGUAUAACCCGAACCGGUUUUUAUUCAUUUUUAAUUUGAGUGAGAUACAAACAGACACACGUAAUUUAUAUAUAAAUGCGCUGGUGGAAGGAAGAGUGAGCGGGAGAGGGCUUUUUGUUAUCUACUGCGCAUUGUCUUGAUGUUGUUUGCGUAGUUGCUGUAUAUAUAUACGUGUGCGAGUGUGUGUGAAGAUGAAGCAGAAGUGGAAGAGCAAGAAGAAGCACGACAGCAUACCAAAUAACUAGCGCAGACGUAAAAGGAGAGAGAGGGAGAGCUCACAAAUCAACAUGACACGACCAACGUCAAAAACAACAACAAGCCAACAGAACAAACCGGCACAUUCAACUUCAACACACAUACACACAAAAUUCUCACACGAAGAAGAUGAAGAAGGAGAAGAGAAAGAGAAGAAGGCGGAGAGGGAAAGGACAGACGGCUGAGACGCGAGACUGAUGCGUGCAAGCGAGAGGGCGCAAGGCGAAACGAAAAACGAAACGAACGAAAUAAAUAAAGAAAAAGACACACCGAGAGAAAACAAAAUCACAUCAAUAGAUUUAAAAAAAAAACUGUAAUUAAUAAGCCUUAGAACGAAAAAAACAAAUUUUUACAAUAAUAAUGUGGUUUUCUUAAAUACGAAUUAUAGCUCAAUUUUUUUUGCAACUCAUAAAUCAAAACAAUUUCGGACGACCUGAUUUUUUUUUCGCGGUGCAUCUACGCCAGCAAGGGUGAAAUAAAAAUAAAAAGAAUAAUAAUAUAAAAAGCGAAAUAAAAUGAUAGCGUACUGAGA